rnacentral:rRNA from 1 species
GUUUUAUAAAUAGCCCCUCCCCUUUUCCUUUUCUCCCUCUCCCCAAAACAUUUACUAAUGUUAGUAUGGGCGACAGAAAACCUCCUCAGCGCAAUAUAUAUAGUACUAUAAAGGAAAAAUGAAAUAGAAAUGAAAUAAUCAUAAAAACACAGCAAAGCAAAGACUAAAACUUCUACCUUUCGCAUAAUGGUUUAACUAGUUUACCCAACACAAAGACCUUUAGUCGGAUAUCCCGAAACUAGACGAGCUACCUCUGGGCAGCAGCAUGCGAGCAAACCCUUCUCUGUAGCAAAAGAGUGGGAAGACCCUAAGGUAGAGGUAAAAAACCUAACGAGUCUGGAGAUAGCUGGUUACUUAAAAAUGAAUCUUAGUUCAACUAAAAGCACAAACACAUUAAAAGUUAAAUAUGCUUUUAUUAUAAUUAAUUGAGGUACAGCCCAAUUAAUAAAGGAUGCAACCUUAACAAAUGAAUAAAGAUUAUAACAUAAAAAAUUAGCACUGUAGGCCUAAAAGCAGCCACCAAAAAAGCGUCAAAGCUUAACUUCUAACACUUAUUAUUCUAAAAAAUAAUCUUAUUUCCUCCUUCCUAUUAAGUAAAUCUAUAAAAUAGAAAUAUUAAUGUUAAAAUAAGUAACAAGGCCUCUCUGCCUCUAUAAUGUAAGUGUAAAUUUUAUGAAAUUAACACCCACAAAAUAUUCUACACAACAAGAAGUUUAAAUAUUAUAAAACGUUAAUCCAACACAGGGACAUUUAAGAAAGAUUAAAAAUUUGAAAAGGAACUCGGCAAAAGGGGCUUCGCCUGUUUACCAAAAACACCGCCUCCUGUAGAAUUAAUAUAAGAGGUACUGCCUGCCCAGUGACACCUGUUUAACGGCCGCGGUAUAAUGACCGUGCAAAGGUAGCAUAAUCACUUGUCUCUUAAAUGGGGACCCGUAUGAAUGGCAAAACGAAAGCCCGACUGUCUCCUCAAACUAAUCAGUGAAAUUGAUAUUUUUGUGCAAAAGCAAAGAUAAUUAUAUAAGACGAGAAGACCCUGUGGAGCUUAAAGCCCAAAUUAAUAAAAUAAAAUAUAAUAUAAUCUGAAGGCUUUCGGUUGGGGCGACCACGGAGAACAAUAAAUCCUCCGAGAUAUAUUAUAUAGAAAAACAUUUCAAGAUUCACCAUAGUUGAUAUAAUUGACCCAAUAAUUGAUCAACGAACCAAGUUACCCCAGGGAUAACAGCGCAAUCCUCUCAUAGAGUUCCUAUCGACGAGCGGGUUUACGACCUCGAUGUUGGAUCAGGAUUACCAAAUGGUGCAGCAGCUAUUAAAGGUUCGUUUGUUCAACGAUUAAAGUCCUACGUGAUCUGAGUUCAGACCGGAGCAAUCCAGGUCAGUUUCUAUCUAUAAACAGCCUUUCCUAGUACGAAAGGAUCGGAAAGACAGGGCCCAUAAGAAACUGAAGCCCUCUCAUAAAUUUCUAAACAAAAUAAAGAAAUAUAAUGAAAAAACGAUAAGCCAAUAUUGACUU